CCUCACUUUCGAUCAAUUGUUGCUCCAUGAGUUAACGUUGGAUGCAAAAAGUGGGUUCCUGUGUUGCAUACCUAUUGCGAUGGAAAUUCGUCCAUUUCGUUGUCCCUUUCAUCAUGACAUCCUUUUGGAUGCGUCGGUUGGACUAGAUGGUAGGGCUUGUGUUCCAUGAGCAUCUCAUACGAUUUGUUCAGACGGACCACGAGUGCUUACUUGUUCUCUCGGAUGCGGAACUUUCCUCUUGGGUAUGGGGUCAAUGGCCCUUGUUCCCAAAUCUUUAAGCGUUUGUCGCUUUACUGGAAUGACGCUCUUGCCUUGUCUUUGACCACGUGGAGCUCCCGGGCUUCAUGAUGGAUCAAUGCUUGGCGGACGUCGUGAAGGAAUGCUACCUGGUUG
rnacentral:misc_RNA from 3 species